AUCAACAAAAAUUAAUAUUUUAUGCAGAACCGAAUUUCUCCUGAAGGACAAGCAAAGCGCAAGUAAACACUUCAUUAGGGCUUAAACAAGGGAAGACCAAAGCCCAUUGCCCUAAGCUUCGUUCAGCAUGCACAACACAAGAUAUGAAGUUAAAAAAACGUGUGGAGCAACCAUACUACUGGACACCUUUAAGUAUAGACAUAAAUCAAGGAGGAGGGAGGAGGUUGGGAUGUAAAGACAGCCAAGAACUGAUGAUCAACUCAGGCCAUUAGACACUGUCAUUUUAUACUCUGUUAGGCUAGUAAGCAUAAUGUUUGUUAUUAUUUUCUGUGCACAUUUUCAGAAUUUUUGUAUAGUGAUUUUUACUAGUUCUGGUGAUGUUCACUACCUAAAUGUAGUGAUCGUCACUACUUAAAUGUAGUGAUUUGAAAAAGUGGUGAGGGUCACCAGUCGAUUUGCGGUGACUAUUGUGGCAGCCGUUUCACUACCUUUUGGUGGUGACGGUCACUUUCCAGUUUUUACAGUGUAUCCCUAUCCCUAUCUAUAUAGUAACCCCUAACUUUUAACUAUCCCUUAUCCCUAACCCUAACCCUCUAUCCCUAACCCCUAACCCCUCCUAAACAUAACUCUAUCCCUAUAUUCCUAUAACCCCUAACUUCUAACUAUCCCUAUCCCUAACCCUAACCCUCUAUCCCUAACCCCUAACCCCUCCUAAACAUCACCGUAACUCUAUCCCUAUUCCUAUAACCCCUAACUUCUAACUAUCCCUAACCCUAUAACCCAUAUAACCCCUCCUAUAUCCCUAAGUAUAUAUCCCUAUAUCCCUAGUAACCCCUAUAUAUUUUAAUUUAUCCCUACCCUAUCCCUAUUCCUAACCCUAACCCCUCUUACUUAACCCUAACCCCAGAGGAGGCUGGACACGCGUCACGCUUAAAACUGAGCCUUUUGUAUCCAUGCAGCUGUCUCCUGUUAGUUUAUGAGUCGUAGUAGUAUAUAUAUACACUAUAUAUGAUUGCUAUACCUACAUCAAGACAGGAGUAAAAAAACAAAGUCAAAUGCAGCAACAACUCGAAGUUGUAAUCUUAAGUUUCUGUCUCAUUGUUUCUAUAUGCCACUCAGUUUUCUAGUUUCACUGGGUAUUUUUAGCACUAGUAUGGAGUGCUAAUAUCGUUUGCAGUCUUUUGACUUGGCUGAAUAUAUAUAGCUACUGUUCUCUGUGAGUUUCCAUAUAUCUCUCCAUGUACACACAUUUCGUCCGUAAAACAUUAUAUGAUGCGUGUCCAACCUCCUCUGCCCAUAGCUAACUCUAUCCCUAUCCCUAACCCCUCCUAAACCUAACUAUUAUAUACCCCUACCCUAACCUCAAGUAAUCAUUAUAAUUUAUACAGUUAUACAAGUUAUACAUUUCACAAAUAUAUUGUAUAGUGUAUAACUGUGUAUAAUUGUUCAACAUUCAUUGUAUAAUUGAUGUAUAUUUGUGUAUAAUUAUACAGUUAUACAAGUUAUACAACACAUUCGGAAUGAAAACAAAAAUAAAUAUUUUUUUUACUAUAAUUAUUAUUAUUAUGUAAGCACACUAUACAGUUAUACCUAUUAUUGUAUAUUUGAGUUAUAGUUGGUAUAAAUUCUCACCACUAUACAGUUAUACAAUAUAGUGGUUGUAUAGUUGUGUAUAGCUGUAUAUAGAAAUUCUCAGCACCACUAUACAGUUAUACAGUAUAGUGGUUGUAUAGCUGUGUAUAGCUGUAUAAAGAUCCAAUCCUGCACCCUUAUGACACUCCGUGGAUGUGAAACACUUCCGCCCACUACCAAAAGUCCUGAAACACUCAUUGCAACGGAUGACACGGACCCAGUAUCCGGAAUUCCCAUAUAGUAUACGGAAUCUACUGCAUGGAUACAAUAAUAACAGUAACUACGUGUGAGUGAUUGGAUAACUGAAGCUCCCAGUCCAAGUUCUUCCAGUGCUAACUGAUUCUCUGCGCAGGGAGAGCCAAGAGAGAUGUUCAUGAAUGAAAGUGGAAAUGCAGAAAUCAUAUUGGAACCUGACAACUCUAGAUCUAGCUACAUGUACACUGCUGACUUAAUUUUUGUGAUGACAUUGUAUAUAUAGCACAGCAUGUAUGCACACAGAAUAUUAUAUAGGCAGGCAUCCAUGCACGGAGAUAGACUUAGUAAUAGACAACUAAAUGGACAACUAAAACUGAUUUAAAGUUGAAGGAGGAUUCUUCUUUAUCUUAUCGCUACUUGUGCUCGUACACUUGUUUGUUAGUCUUGCAUCAGGGAAUAAUUAUGCUCCUUUCCGCUUCCUUUGGUGAUAGAGCAUUACCUAAAUUAAAAAAGUGUGUUAGAAUGCACAUAAUAAUUUACUCCGGCCGCUGUACGAUUAUGUAUGCAUUAUCAUCAUACAGUACAUUUGUAUGAAUAAACAUGUUCACCACAAAAAGACACGCUUUCCUGAAAUAACAAAACAUUUACUGAGGGUCAAAAUAGAUUCUCCCGGUAUAAGGACAUCUAUAUUAUUGAAUGACCACAUCAUUUAAGUGAUGGAGCUUUUUGUUGGCAAGAUCGCCUAACCACAAGAUAGGUACUGUUGAACACCUAAUUUUGACCUAUCAUUCAGUUUGCUGCUAGCCGUAUACAUUUCCUUAAUUAAGUGCUGAACACAUUCUCCUGGUACUUCACUUCAUAGACUAACAGGAAAGCAAAGCGAAAUGUUCCAACUAUAAACCCAACCAAAGAUCGCCUAACCACAAACUUGUCACCUAGUAAGUUCACCGCUGUUUCACAACAAUGAAAAUUCACCACUUAGUUUAUCAGGAUGUAGUACAUGAUUAUGACAAGAUAAUACAUUCCAAAAACCACAAGCCAGUGGAAAUGGGGUAUGGUCUUAGGAGCAUCCCCAUGGGAAGGGGAGUUCCUAAGUAUGUCUAAAAUGUGACUAUUCAGGAAGUACAGACUCUGUACUUUCCGUUGAUGGUAGUUUCAUAAAAAUCAAGCGAACAGAACUUGUGUUGUAGUUGCUUGUACAAGUACAUGUUUUGGCCAACACGCACAGUGUCUCCAGCAAAAAUGUUCUUCUGUCAAGUAAAGUGUUUUUUAAGACUAGUAACAAGCAGUACAUUAUAAAGGAAGCUCUCAGGUGAAGGUCUGCACAUGGUGGUGGAUGGUGCAACAUGACGAAAACUUGUUAAAUACAUCUCAGCGAAGCCAUUUGUAAUGUUUCGAUAUUACUUUGUGAUGUCUGGUUCAAUUCAACGUACAUGUAUCAAGGUC